rnacentral:rRNA from 1 species
CGGAGGGGCUAGCGUUGUUCGGAAUUACUGGGGCGUAAAAGCGCGCGUAGGCGGCUUUGUAAGUUAGAGGUGAAAGCCCGAGCUCAACUCCGGGAACUGCCUUUAAGACUGCAUCGCUAGAAUUGUGGAGAGGUGAGUGGAAUUCCGAGUGUAGAGUGAAAUUCGUAGAUAUUCGGAAGAACACCAGUGGCGAAGGCGACUCACUGGACACAUAUUGACGCUGAGGUGCGAAAGCGUUGGGGAGCAAACAGGAUU